rnacentral:lncRNA from 1 species
AGAGAGGUCAGCGUCACAAUGAGAAGGGAGGAGACCGAUCUUCCGGGAACAGAGGCCGCCUCAGGACUGGGCGAGGGGUGCGGUGGGGGGAGGGACAGUGACAUGCAGCACAGAUGUGCGGUGGAGGGAAGGUGCCGCCUCGCCAGCCGCCGCCAGGGUGAGUGAGAGUGGGGGCAGAUCGCCGUGGAGGGAUCUCCGCGUGGCGCCGGGACACCUGGUUCCUGAUGGAAGGAUCCUAAGUCCAUUCAAGGGUCGGAGGACCAUGGCCAUCCACAAAGGGGAAGGUGCUAACGGUCCUGGGGCUUCGAUCUCUCCCGGAGCCGCGGCGUGCAGACCGGUGACCGCCUGUGAAAGGCGUGUCCCCUGGCAGAGACCUCCGAAAUUAUACAUGCAAAAUUGAAAAUAAGAAACAGAAAUGCAAAUACCAC